AUUUUAAGCAAUUUUAUAAAUGAUUCUAAAAUACUAAUUAGAUUAGGAUGUGACCUAUUUGAGCAGUUAGAGUGGAUCACAAGGAUCAUUUUGAUAUGCGCAAAGCCAGGUUCAGUCCAGUAAUUUCAGCACAACCCGGGUGACAAGUUCCGUUCGAGUGGCAUUCUCUUUGGGCUUGUUUCUUCGAAUCUAGCCAGCCAGGAGGCGGGGUAUUUUGAUCAACCUACAGCUGAGAAGAUUACCUUAACUACAAAGCGGUUUGCUCUAGCAGUCGGAAAUUCGGAGGUUAUGUGACAAAUCAGGAAUACUACUCCAUGUGGAAUGCAGCAUGCCGUUCGUCGACAUCUCCCUACCUUUAGCGAAUACAAAUGGUGCAUGUUUCAGUACAACAUAAAAAAUGCUAUGCAAAGAUAGCUGAAAUUGAGGUUGGUACUAAGGCCAAUUUCCUCAAAUUUCAAACAAAACAAAUAA